rnacentral:lncRNA from 1 species
GUGGGAAUCCGUGCAAAACGAGUUUCCUUACCAGCACGAUUCCGCAAAACGCAGAGCCCCGAACGUGCAGCAGCUCUGCCUAAGAGAAAGGCGAAUAAACAUUUGCUUAAAAAAUCGUUGCUCGGUUCACAGUCUACAGCGGAGGUGGGGAGGGACUGAAUAGGAUAGAACCGCUCCAGAUGCCGGGCUGGAGCCGGCGGCAGCAGCAGCGAGGCUGGCUCUGAGGGCUGAGCUAUCCCGCUCGCAGCGCAGCAUAGAACAGCACAGCCGCGGCAGGCAGAGGGUAAGGCUGGGCUUGUGGAGCGCAGCGCUUGGCUCGUCCUCCUCCUCCCUCCUCCUCCUCCUCCUCCCUCCUUUCUGGCUCGCUCUCUCUCUCUCUCUCUCUCUCUGUGCAUGUAGAGCAGGCGGCUGUGCUGCAGCGUCAGGAAAGAGCUGCCGAGAGAGACUCCAGCAGCUCCCACCACUUUGGGCAAACUUGCCGGUUUAACAGCUUUUUUUUUUUUUUUUUUUUUUUUUUUUUCCUUCCGAGUGGGAAGCUCCUCAGUUGCCAUUCAGCAUUUUAAAGCACAAGCUGCUCUGCCGUGAAAGCGCCCGAGCCACACUCCUCUGAAAGACACAGGAGGGAAUACACAAUCGCAGAUUUCACCCGCCGUAGCGGUGCAGACCCCAGGAAACAACUGACUGAUUGCAUUUUAUUCGCAAAUAGAACUCCGUGUGGUUUUUUAAUCGCGUCGCGGCUCUCUUCCCCUCCCCUUUGCCAUUCCGCUUAUAUGGAUGUAAUUCAGAAUCUGUGUUAAUUCACGUGGGGGAUCCAGUUACAUCUCGUUUCGCUCCGGGUAUGUUAACGAGAGACCAAUAAUCGCCUUUGGACACAUAGUUUUGUCGCUAACCUUUGAACUGAAAGGAUCGAGUUCAGCUCUGGUUACCUGCAUUGGGACGGGAAGGAGGAGGCGAGAGAGAGAGAGCAGAGAGAGGGAGAGAGAGACUGCAAUCUCAUUUGUGAAUCGCGCUCAGUGCUGCAGCUCCAGAUUGCUAUAACACAUGCAGUGCAAAUGCAGAUAGGGGAGAGAAUAAAUCUAAUGCGUUUGUCGUGAACGACUGAGAGGGCGAGAGAGAGAGAGAGAGAAGAGAGAGUGUGAAUUGUAGUUAACUCCGGUGUCGAAGAAGACGACCUGGGGGGCUUCAGAUCGCACGGUGCUGCUCCGGCUUUUAUUGCAAACCUUGCAAAGUGAUUACAGUAAAAUCAGGAGGAGGAGGAGAAGGGGGAGGAGGAGGAAAAUCCCAUCCUAUCUGCCGAGAUGAAUCUUUAAAAAGCAAAAUACACUGUCCCGUGAACUGUAAGUAUAUCGCAGCUGGGAGGCAGGGCGAGCAGCGGAGGAGGCAGCAGCGGGGUUUUGCCCACCGAUUGCACCAGCCAUGAGGCGCUAAGUUUCCGGGAGCAGAAGGAUUCUAUAAUUGCUCGCUCGGCCGCUCUGUUGGCUCAUCAGGGCAGUUUAUCGGGGAG